AUUGAACGCUGGCGGCAGGCCUAACACAUGCAAGUCGAACGAGUGGCGGACGGGUGAGUAAUGUCUGGGAAACUGCCCGACGGAGGGGGAUAACUACUGGAAACGGUAGCUAAUACUGCAUACCACGGGAUGUGCCCAGAUGGGAUUAGCUAGUGGGUGGGGUAACGGCUCACCUAGGCGACGAUCCCUAGCUGGUCUGAGAGGAUGACCGGCCACACUGGGACUGAGACACGGUCCAGACUCCUACGGGAGGCAGCAGUGGGGAAUAUUGCACAAUGGGCGCAAGCCUGAUGGAGCCAUGCCGCGUGUAUGAAGAAGGUCUUCGGGUUGUAAAGUACUUUCGGCGGAGAAGCGGUACUCGCAGAGGAAGCACCGGCUAACUCCGUGCCAGCAGCCGCGGUAAUAC
rnacentral:rRNA from 1 species